UAGCUCAGGCUACGGCUAACUGGCUACUGGCGACAUGCUAACGGCGGAGCUAACGGCUAGCCGAGACAUGCUAACCGGCGGAGCUAACGGCUAGCACUGUGCUGUGACCGAAUGGUGGCAAACUUUACCAUGAACGAGCAGGUACAAACCCAGCACUGCAGCCCCUGAUGUCCUCAGCAUUUCCUGUGGCAGCAACAACGUGGUGGAGAUCUGCAGCUUCAGGCUGGUCAACAUCAGGGCGACCUGCACCAGCUCCAUGUUUUCCAACCUUAACUAAAGAUGGCCUGCACCUGUUUAGAGUUGGCUCAUUGCUAAGUGUCAUGGAUAAUGGAGUUCAUUUCUAUAUUCAUUAUGGUUGGAUAAAAAAAUUAACACUUAUUAGAACAAUGUUUAUCUUUUGCUUUCUGAUUUGAUACACUUUAGAUAAGAACCCAGUGUUUUAUUUUUCUUCUCUGCCAUUAGAGACAGAACACGGUCAGCACAGCUGUGUCCUUCAAGCUCGUCCGUCCCUAAUAAAAUGAUAGGAAACAAAAAAGUAUGGCAUUAUUGUCGAGGAAGUGAUACUUAUGAACAAAGUUUGUGUCCUUAUUUUCUAUGGAUAUUCAACUAUGUAUUGGAAUAUGCUUUUGGAUUAAACUGUGCACUACCAAGAAAAUGAAUGUACAGUAUGGAGCUCAUUCACAUUAAAAGUAUUGCAUAUAU